GUCCACGCCGUAAACGAUGAUCACUCGAUGUUGGGAGUUCGACCCUUCCAGUGUCUAAGCUAACGCGAUAAGUGAUCCGCCUGGGAAGUACGGCCGCAAGGUUAAAACUCAAAGGAAUAGACGGGGACCCCACACAAGCGGUGGAGCGUGUGGUUUAAUUCGACAAUAAGCGAGGAACCUUACCAGGGCUUGACAUCCUCCGAAUACACCCGAAAGGGAGUAGUGCCGUAAGGAACGGAGUGACAGGUGCUGCAUGGUUGUCGU
rnacentral:rRNA from 1 species